UACAGAGGGGGCCAGCGUUAUUCGGAAUUAUUGGGCGUAAAGGGCGCGUAGGCGGCCAUGCGUGUCUUCCGUGAAAUCCCUCGGCUCAACCGAGGACGUGCGGAAGAAACUGCAAGGGCUCGAGUCCGGAAGAGGGGGGGCGGAAUUCCCAGUGUAGCGGUGAAAUGCGUAGAUAUUGGGAGGAACACCAGUGGCGAAGGCGGUCCCCUGGGCCGGAACUGACGCUGAGGCGCGAAAGCGUGGGUAGCAAACGGG
rnacentral:rRNA from 1 species